rnacentral:rRNA from 1 species
AUGUCAGUAUUUAAGAUACCCAAAAAUAUUUGCAAGGAAAUUUGUAACGCAAUUGCUAGAUUCUGGUGGGGAGGGACUCAAGAAAAGAAGAAACUACACUGGAAGGCUUGGUGGAAAAUGUGUAUCCCUAAAAAAGAAGGUGGGAUGGGCUUCAGAGAUCUACACUGCUUUAAUCAAGCUUUGCUAGCUAAACAGUGUUGGAGGUUAUUGAGUGACCCGCAUUCUCUUUGUGCCCAGGUAUUAAGAGCGAAGUACUAUCCCAAUGGGGAUUUAUUAAACACAACCUUGAGGAAAGGGGCAUCUUUUACCUGGCAGAGUAUCAUGUCAGGA